AUGUUGACCCUGAGAUUAGACCUGCCACUGAGUUGGGCUUGUUGGGAUAAAUUCCCAUGGAGUUGGACUUUAAGGUCGUUAAAGGAACGUGUCUAGGGUUUGCGGCUCAUGGCAUAUAUAAGUGAACAUCCAGUGAAUGAAGAGUUGGUUCAGAUUUUUAGUCAUCUCUCUCAUAUUUUACGUCUGAAGCAUAUCAAUACAAUCUAGGGUUUUCAUCUUCUUGGUUAUCAUGAAAACCUAAUCUAUCAUGUUCGUUGUCAAAGAUUAUCAGGUUGAUAUGCUUAAUCUAUUCACAUAGUUUCUUUUUGUUUACAACCAGAGAGUUGUACAAAUUUAGAGACGAUUGGAUUGUAUUGUGCAUAAUUAGAUGAUCACAUGUACUAACUUACACGAACGAGUAAUUGAAUGUCAAACGUGAUUCCAUGGCUAUGUGUUAGACUACGUGUAGGAUUUCAUAAAUCAAACUAACUGAAACGGUAAACAUAUCAGGAAGAGGUUGACCACUCCGGAUUACCUUCACACUUAUUUCUGCUGAGCAAACUAAGGUGAGUUCACAACCUUUUUCAAAAGCAUGCGUUCCUAGUUUGGAACAACACUUUUUACGGUAGCCCUGGUUGGGGCUACACGUGCAUUCCUUGUUGGAACCACUUAAUAUACUAUCCACUGGAGGUGUAGUAGUACACUUGGACUAAACAAACAUUCUAUCAUGAAAGUCCCUACAUUUUUACCGAUUUGAUUGUCGGGGAGGCAUAGCGAUAUUAGAUUUGACAAACCUCACACCGUGCUGGGAGCCGGGCGUGAAUUUUUAACCUUCACUUUUACAUUAAUGUUGAUAGAUGUUAAUGAUGGCACAAAACAAAACGUCAGCAUUCGGUACACAGCUUAGUCAUUUGAUGAGGGUUAGCUACCUAAGUCAUACAUAAACCAAAAACAGGUACAACUGGGACGGACUAUUGCAAUUGCUGGAAUGGUGUGGUUUGAUAAACUUUAUGUUUUGAAUUAUUUAUUAAACUUGUGGUUUUUUUUUUAAAUUCUUGUUAGGAUUUUAACUUUAUUUCCGCUGCAACUUAAACUAUGUUUUGACAAUUAAAACUUGAUCGCUAAUCAUGUUGCUAGUGAUAUUUUUAUGAUUUUAAAUCUUCGAUUCAACAUGAUUAGUGGCUAAAUCCCGGUCAGUAACACGCCUCGCAGUAAAAUUCCGCAUGUGGAAUUUGAGGGUGUGACAGUUCGUGUUCGGGUACAGAUUGGGUUUUCUGAUUCAUUUUUUUUUUUUGGCGUAAACAUAGAAAUAUGAUGGGAACCAUUAUUUAUAUAUAUUGUAUGCCUUGAAAUCUGCCCAAAAAAGCCUCACACAAGCUCUAAACGUUCAAAAAAAAAAACUGUUGUACACAACGGGUCCUUGUAUUACGAAAAUCAGGUUACGGGUAUUAUGAAAACCUGGGUACGGGUUUUAAAAACCGGGUACGGGUUUUAUGAAAACCGGGUACGUUGAACACCCGGGUACAAAUCGGGUAUGAAAAAACACGGGUUCGGGUAUUGAACAAAAUAUGCAUCGGGUUCGGGUUUAAAAAACCCGAUUUUUCUAAUACCCGGGUUCAGGGUUUUUUUCCAGGUUCGGAUCCGGGUUCAAGUUUUUUGUGCACCUUUAAUCUAAACUUACAUAAAUUUCAAAGGGCAUAGUGACAUUACG
rnacentral:lncRNA from 1 species